CCCUCCCCCCUCCGCCCCCCAGAAAUGUUGCAAACUUUUGCAGCCCGUUCUCGGGUUGCAGGAGGAGAGGGGGGCGGGGGAGGCGGCAGGAGGGUUGACAGCCGGCGGGCUCACCCCCUGGCUUUGAUUUUUCUGCAAAGAGAGGAGGAAAGCAGCGUUGCCGAAAUUAAAUACGCUCCCCCAAAAUUCGGAGAACCGGAGAGUGGGGGCCCGGGAAAGAAACUUUUAAAGCGGCAGCGUCCUUUUAAGAAGGAAAAGAAAUCUGUUUAUGGCCACCCUCCUCCCCCUUUACCUUUUCUCCUCUUGACAGUUUCGGCCCCGGCUGCCCGAGUCGGGGGUGUGUUUUCGGCCCCCUCAGAGCUGAGGGGAGCGAGAGGAGUGAGCGAUCUGGGAAGCCCCGGGGGGUGGAGAGGGGGCGCUCCUGGAUCUGGGGGCGACGUGGGCACCUUCUCUGGAGCACUGUGCUGGGUUUGGGAUACGGGGAAAGAUCUGGAGGAAGAGGGGUGCGGGCGUGCGUGGUGCUCGCCAAGUUAGGUGGCGGGCGCGGCGAGGGGAGGUGGGCAAGUUGGUGGACCCGGGGUUCGCAGCCCCGCGCCCAGGCUGGCGGGGGGCGUGUGCGCGCCAGCGCGCCGAGGCCGGCGGUCCGGUGGGGCGCUCCCCGCGCAUUCGGAGCGGGCGUCUACAAAAGCAAACAAGCAGAAAGAGAGAGAUCGCAAGGCACCCAAACUUAUUUCUGCCCUGAGAAUCCUUCCCUCCCUGAGGUUCCAAGCGUUUCUGCGAGAACCUGGGAAUGGUCAGUGCGAGUUGAAUGCUGGUUGGAUAGUGCAAGCGAUGUUCCCCCCUCCCCGAGCGAUUUUUACACUUCAUUUUAGAGUGUGUUGCCGGGCGGGGGGGGGGGGGGAGCGGGGGUAGUUGGGGAGAUCCGUCGCCCCCUCCUUGCUUUUUCCUAGUUAAGGUGGAGUAUUGGAGAAAGCUCACUCUCUCCCUCUUUUUAAAGGUGUCGGAACCUGGUGUUGGGUUUUUCUUGGGGGUGGGGAUUGUUUAUUUGAAUGCGCCUGGAGUUUGCAAAGAACAGGAGGAAGCUACGGCUUUAAUUACUGUUGUAAAUAAUGUAUAAAUCACGCCUGUCACUCCGGAGGAAGCGGGCUCGCGCGAGCCGCCCAGGGCUGGGGACAGAGAGGAUCUCCAAUCCGAGCUUGGGCGCUAGUCCAGCGUGCCCCCUCCUCUUGCUACUCGGCUUCUGGCGGCGUUGGGGAGGGCUGGGGAGAGGCGAGUUGGGGCCCCGGGAGCCGCUCCCUUCCUCUGGUUAUAGUUGGAGGUAGGAAUAUGGCUGAUCAUGUGCUGGCUGUUUUACAGUAUUCCCCCCGUACCCCCCCCCCACCCUUAGCCACACCCCCUGUCCGGGCGCUUUCCCAUUCACGGAAUUCGAGUACAGUAAAAGCAAUCAGGAUGACACACUCGAAAAACAUUUAAUUAAAGGCGAUUUCCGAAGAGCGAACACACCGAACCGCGGUUUGAGCGGGAGGGGGUGCAGCGAAGGCCGGGAGUGAAGGGAGGGGGAUAGGGACCGGGGGCCGGGACCUGCCGCUAGCUUGGGGAGUUUGUGUGUGGAGAGCUUUUGGCUGCAAAGAGUAUAUUUAGACCCUGAGACGGUGGAUUUGGAAUGCGAGCGGGUUAUGUAACAGGGUUAAUCAGAAACACUGGAGAAAAUCCCCUUCAUGUGUUUCUGAAGGUUUUUUUUUUUUUGGAAGAGGGGACACAGUAUAUAGGAAGCCAUACUAAUUUCUGGUUUGUGCUGCCACCCCCCUCUUUCUUAACGCCCCCCCCCCCCCCCCCGCCCCGUGUUAUUAGCAUCUUCAGGUGUCAUUCUUGCCAGAAGGUGUUGUAAGUGAUUGGGUUGGCAGGCUGCAGAACCCACUAGCAAAUCCGUAACUUGCUGUUCUUGCAAAUUAUAUAACGCUGGGGCAUUCAGUACCACCAGCCCCCUAGGCUCAGCAAAAAGGGGAGAGGGACAAAGUGGGGGUGGGAUGCAUCUUGCACAGCUGACCUGCUGACCCAUAUCCCCUUGCCCCCUGGAGGCCCACCCCCCACUCACUCUUUUUUGAACCAACCCCGUGUCAUCCCUCCGGAGAUUUAAUGGGGGAGGGAGACGAGGUAAGGCCCAGACACUCAACUCACAUCCUGCACGCAGGCACUAGGUUAUAUAACAGUCUGAGUGGAAAAAGGAAGGUCAGAGAUGGAAGCAUCCUUUAGCUAACACAGCAGUAGUAAUAGCUUCCAGAAAUUAUGUGCAUUUGCAGACUUUAACCUCAGAUGUAGCAUCUCUCCUCAGGGGUACCAAUCUUUGUGUGUGUGAGCUAGGGAGAAAAAGAGAAUGUGUAAGUAUGCCCAGUAGAUGAGAGUGAUUUGAAAAUGGGAAAUGUUUGGGUUUUCAGAUGAUGUAAUGGAGUUGGCAGAAUAUGCAAGUCGGCUCCCAGAGUGUAAGCAGCAAGAAAAUUGGAGCUGGCAUCCAGUAUUAAUGUUGCAUAAAUUACAAUAUCGGAAAGAAAUUAACCUACACACUAGGUGAUUACACCUUUUUAAUACUUAAACAUAAAGGCACACAACUCCAAAGGAAAAGCAAAUAUCAUCACUUUAUAAUUAGCAUUCUCAACCUCUAGGAGGGUUGAGUGGAGUUCUUGGCAGAGGGUGAAGUGGGAAGCUUUCUGAUUUGGGAGAUGCUUUCCAGAGAGGUAGUGGGGUUAGCUUUCAGCCAGCCAGCGUUUGCAGUGCACAGAGAUUGUGGUCUGGAUUCUCAUGACAUUGAGGUGACCUCAUGAGACAUCUCCUAGGUAGACUUGAAGCUGUUGCUGAAUUCCGAACUCCUGGGAAGCCACAUGUCAAAGGACUGUCCGUUUAGUGCCUGAGCUUCCAGAAUCAGAUGUGUGACUUUAUAAUCUGAAAGACAACCUCCCCUUCUGCUUAAAACUGGGCAGGCAAUGUUAACAGUUUUAAUGAAACUGUUCCGUUUUCUAGGUGGUAUUGAUGGCUGGUGUCAUUCAGUCUCAUCUUCGCAGCACAAUGAAAGGGAAAAAAGAAAGGCAAGAGGCAACGUGGGAAGUAAGAAUGAAGCGGAAAAAACCACAGCAAAUCUUUAAUUUAACAAGGCUUUUGAGGACUUUAGGGAGCCAUGAGCAUUGUGACAUAACUGUUGUUAAAAACCCUUUUCCAGAAUCUCGUUAUUAUAUGCAUGCCAGAAGCUUACAUAUUUUCCUUCACUCAAGUUAUCCUUACAGGGCUGUGUGCCACGCGCUUGGUUUGGAACACCAGUGUGGAAGGUAGAAGGCUUUUAGGGCAGGCUGACCUAAAGGAAAAAUCGAAACCAAAAGAUGAUGGGAUUAACACUGAAAAGCUCAGUUGGGUUGAGAUGGAACCCCCUGGAAGCUCAGCUUAGAUUGACUUAAAAUCAGUUAACAAGGCCUGUGGUUUAUUUGUAACCCUGAGGACUUCGAGACCCACAUAAGUCUUUGGCUUGGAAAGUGCUUCGCCUUCAUUCCCCCCUUCAGUCUUGGCUCAUUCACUUUCUGGUGGCUGCUCUUGCCUGGCAAUUUAUAGCGCUUUCUAGAGACUGAUUCUCAGAUCAGCUUUGCUUACACGGACAUGGCCCUCCACACUGAACAAAUGAUGCCCCAUAGUUUGAAAGAGCUACUGGCUAGGAUAAAGUCCUUUGCCAGAGGGAUGGAAUAAUUAUUUUUUAAACGAAGGGACUUUAUAAUUUUCCGGUAAAUUGCUCAUAAAAACAUUUAUAAUUAUACCCUUUAUAAAAAUGUAAUAGAAUCAUUUUAGAAAAUGCAUUUGAUAAUAGUUAUGAUAACCUUUUUUGUUGCUUCCCCUUUAUUCUUAAAAAGAAUUGAAUUAUUAAUCCAGAAGUCAAAUCUUGAGUGGCUAAAAACAUUUAUAGCAGCCUCUUUUUAUGUUAGUCACCUGCUGGAAUUUUCCAAAACUUACUGGCAUUAUGAGGAGCCCUUGGCUUUAGAAAAUGUAUUUCUGAAACUGAAAUAUGGAGCCGGCGUGGAAGCCCCCUAACCAUGAGACCUUUAAGUUGUGUUUUCAAGGCAGCAGAGGUGGCGGGUACAGCACACACUGCUGGCUCCACACCAGACUCCUAAGUGGGAUGCACGGAGGUGCAAGAGUGUGCAUUGCAAUAGUUGUGCCUCUGGAUGGAAAUGUUCUGAGGAUUUUUGGUAGCAAACUGACUCCUGUCUGGAGCUGACCUUUGGAAUGCCAGUGAGACAAGCCCACCGAGUCUUCUCCUUGAGCCACCCUCUUGUCACUUGAGUUAAGAGCAUGUUUUUCUCCAGAUUCUCCCAUUUUGCCAGUAGGACAUUGUGGUGUGAUGUUGGAAGGACAGACAGAGUUGGGUGUCCCUGGAAAUUCUGUUCGUGUGAUACGGUCUCUUACAGCAUGUGCCAGUUUUUCUGAGUGUGCUCUUCCUUUCUCCCUCCAUCUUCCUAGUCUACUUGAUGAAUUGUGCUUCUUAGCUUAUAUAUGUACCUCUGUGUCUGUAGAAGCAAAAUAAAUACAUAACAACAUUUCAGGUGUCUGGGGAAAGAGUUGUAAUGUGACUGCCUCAUGUGCAAAAAAAAUAGCAUAGAAAAUGCAGCUCUCCUCAUAUGACAUAUACUGCUGCUCACCUCUUUGUCUUCCGUGAGCCAGUGUGCAGGAACUUUGAGGUAGAUGUCUGCUCCCUCAAGGAGAUUCUGACCCAGUCAUCCCAGAUGAAUGAUGGAUGCCACCGGGCAAGAAGAGUCUGCUUUGGGAGGCCUGGAGGUGCUGGGGUAAACACUAACCUAGAAUGUUGGGUACCUUUCUGAAUAUGAAGACGUCUUCCUUGCUCAGAAUUUAGGGACUGCCUCUGUCUCUCUCUGUCUCUCUCUGGUGUUCUCUCUUCUAUCAGUUUUUAAAUUGGGGUUUUUCUCCCCCCUUUUUUUGUAUCUAAUUCAUAUUGCGAAGUGUUGGUUUGGAAAUAAGGUGUUAAAUUUUUCACCCAUCUUAUUAGGCAGUAUGUUAAGAAAAAUAAAAUUGAAUCAUUUUGCAUUAAAGCUUCAGAAAAAUCCCUCCAAAUAAUCAGUGUUCGAAUGUUGAUUAAUAUACAGUAAAGCCUGAUUUUUCUAUAAGGGUACCAAGGUGUUACUGAUAAAUUGGUGUUUCUGGCUAACAGUAGAUUAGCCAGAAAUAUUUUCUGACUUUUCCUUCUUGAAUAUAUAUUUUAAAUGUGCUGGUCCCCUUUGCUACCCUAGAAAGAACAUUGAGAAUGUAAUCGAAUCUUUCUUUGCACUUUGAGGAUCUUCUGGUGCCACAGGGUCACUGUUCUGAGGAUAAAUUCUGAUUGUACGUUAUAGAGCUAUAAACGGAGACAGCGUCAGAGAUUGGGCUAAAUCUGUCCUGAUCCCAGCUUGGAAAUUGUUUUCUUCUUUUGUUAAAUCCUCCAUAUUAGUAUGUUUUGUUAUUGGCGCCCUUGUGCUGUUAAGUUGCAAGCAGCGAAAUAGAAAUUCACUUCAAUUACUUGGUUCUGGUUAAUUGAGGUUUUUACUUGAUAGGAAAAUUUCAACCAGAGUCUAGAGCCUUAAUUCUUUCUCUUGAGUUAUAGAGGAUGUAGAAUUAUUCUCAGAUAUUCAGGCUGUUGUAUUUACAAGGAAGUUAUGUACUAUAGUGCCAUCGCGUUGUGUGACUUCUCCCCUGUGUAGCGGUAGAGAGGAAUGCCAGCUGAUUUUGCCUCUUCCUUAGAUACGUUGAAGUGGUGUCUUUGGUCUAGGACUUGUAAAUUGAGAAAGUUAGGAACCUCAAGAAGUAGAAGGAAGAGUUUCAAGAAUAUCAAUAGUGAACAUCUAGAUUCCCCCAAAGGAAGCUCUCUCUCCAAGCUUAGGCCUUGUUCACCAGACCAGUAUGGAGAGCAUUCUGGAAUCACAGCAUCCGUCGGAGGCUGACUUUCUCAGGGCCGUCCUACUUGACUUAAUGAUAGUCUGCAGCUAUCUUUGAUGUCGUAGUGUUGGAAAUUCAGCUUGGGAGUCUUGGCGUUCUUUUGUAUCAGCCCAAUUAUUUUUUAUUUUUUUUGCUUUUGGAGUAAAGACAUCAAGGAGAUUGUCUAAAGAACUCCUUCCAUGCGGGGAAUGGGGCGUGAUGAGGAAUACAUAUACGGCAGCUCGUGGUUUAGGCAGGCUUGCUUUUUGCUGUGGCUUUUACAUGCUAAUGUUAAAAGGAAUUCCAGGUAACAAUUCCCUUGUGUUGGUGGAAGGACAGUUUUUUUCCUAACAGACAUUUAUGGCCCCAGCUGACACGUCAUUAUUACAGAUUGUCUUAUCACAUUACAUGCUGGGGCACGUUGACAGUGGCGUGGCUCUGUGGUUUCCUGGUGACUGUCUCGUCCACAGAUCUGAGGCCCUGGAGGCCGGCUGGGGAGCCCUCUGCAGUGCCCACUGCCAGCUAAGAGGACAGGUUUCCCACGCUCUUGAAGGUGCUGGAGGACUCCAGGCUGUCCCAGGUAGUUUCUCUCCUAGGGCUCUUUUCCCUGAAGCUCAGUCAGAGGCUGGAAAAGAGUAGAAACAAUUAGAGUGCAGAGGAUUUAUAAUCUCCUAGCCUCGAAUCAUCUCCAGCAAUGUUACCGAGCAUUUGAGUUUGAUUAUGAACUUUAAGAAAGUGUGUGGAAGCAAUUAGGAAGUUCCUAAUCCGUGAACCGACCGUGAUAGACAGAAACUCUUCUGGGGUACAAGGAAGGGUACCACUUAGUACAGGAUCCUCAAGCCUGUGAAAGAGGCAGCGCACUGUUAAAAAUACCUAGCUUACUUCGGGGGAGGAUUUGGCUGAAUACUGAUGAAGUUUAUGAAAUAUGAAUGUAGUGAAGUUGCUGUACGUAAGUGGUAGGCGUGUGUGAAAGAAGUAAGAAGAAAUAAAAUUGUGGAUAAAUGACAGUCUGAAACUUGAUGGAAUUGUAUACGUGACAAGAAUGGUGACGUUUGGGUCUGUGCUUAAUGGGGGAAAAUAAACUGGCUUAAAUUCUAUAUGUCAAGCUAGAUGUGGGACUAAAAAUUACAGAAUAUAAAAUCAUUUGACUUAUUUUAUAAGCAAAGAAUGCUACCGAGGAGAAGCAGGCAGGUUGCAAAGAAUCGAGGUGAAACAGAGUGGGGGAGAAAAAUGAGGGACCAGCACUUGAAUGUAUGAUGAGGUAUGGUAAUCACUGUUUUAAAUAAUCCAGACUAUUAACUACUGUGCUGCUAGAUAGAGAAUUCGUUAUAGCCAAACAAAAGGCAUAAAUAUGAAUUUUAGGUUGUGUGGGAGAAAUCUUCUUGAUCCCCAAAGCAUAAAUGCAUGUACUCAGAAGCAAAGCUGCACACGAAGUAAUUUUUUCUGUCUUAUCCUGAUUAAUUGACAGCCAACUGUAUGCCUCUUUCCUGAAGGUGACUUUACAAUCUCCAGACACAGACAUUUCUCUCAGAAGUGGAGUGAAGGAAGGAGAACCACAAGCUAAAGUGUGUUUCGCUGGGUGAAGUAUUUUGGGGGAAAGAUAAGACUGGUGAAAUAGGGGAAUGGAGUCGUGCCUACAGAGAUUAAGAAUGCCUGUUUGGGGCUGGGGAGUGGGGGCUGUGAAUGAAGGAAGGGAAUCUCUAGAGGGAGAGUCUUCUGUGCAAAAGAAAAUGAAAUUAGCAUUGACUCUGAAGUGGCUGGGAAUGCGACUUUCUAAUUUUAAAUUAUCUUUAACAAGGGCAAUGAAAAGAGGAAAAGUUGACACUUUGAGAAGUUAUGAUGAACUUGUCGAGAAUGCCAGUUGACAAAGGCAGUUUUAAAGAAACCUGAAGAAAUGGACAAAGACGGAGGAAAGAAACCGGAUGUGAUUCUGCACUUCCAGAAGCAAAGAGGCUUAUAUCAUCCUGUUUGAUCGAUGCCAGUCAUGGGGAGGAGUGGCUGUAUAGAAGUUAAUGGAAUUGCAACAUACAAAUCACAGAAGAAACAAGGGUAUAUUUAGCAAGUCUGAAAACUCUUCAAUAAACUGCAUUCCUUUUCAUUUUCACUGUACAGUUAUAAAACCAGCGGAGGGUCAUAGGCCACUGUAACGAUAAAGCAUGUGCUGCCAGGAACGUGUGUGUGACGAGCAUGUUAUAUCUGAAAGGACAGGGCAGCUGGGAGGGUGAACUGCCUGUAACUCUCAAUUGUCCAGGUAAUGAAGCAUUGGGAAAGCAAAGGCAAAUGAAAUACUUUGAUAAUCAAAAACGAUUCUUCUUUUAGUGAUCAUAUUAGUCGACUGAUGAUGAUAAAUGUGAAAUUGCCAGAGUUGUAUUUUACCGUUUCUGGCACGCAUGACCCACUUUGGAGGAGCAAUUUCUGUAGACCAGACUGUUAACCCAGAAGAUGUAGAACUUCACAGAGUGAAGGAUGACGGUUGAAGAUUAGUGAGGUUCUAGACUUUCUCAAGGCCCCACAGAGAAUCAGUAGGAGAACUGAUGCUACACAGAAAGGGUUCUAGAAAGUUCUAAAGCUCGCUUUCUAACCUUGAGCUACUAUGUGGUGCUCGCUCAUCAUGCUGCCACUGGUCAUGUUUUAUUAGACUAAAGCCUGUUAGAGCCAAAAGGGAUGUGAUAAAUCAUCUAGUCUAGCCACCCCUGUCACCCUCCAUGCGCCCCCUGCCAUUUAAACUAAUGUUCAUGGACAUCUAAGAAUGUGUGUGAGGUCCCAUUCCUAAUAAGUAGCAAGGCUGUGACAAGAACACAGGUCUUCUACUUCCUUACCUAAUAUUCUUUCCACUUAUAUGCUGUGCCACGAUGCUUGGAAGUUCCAGUAAGGUACAAAAUCAAGUUCCUGUCCCCCAGGAAAACAUGAGGAUCUUACCAUGUGUACACAAGUUAAUCCAGCGUUAGGUAGUAGAUAUGUCUGAAAGUAAGCACGAGUUAUUUUGGCUCUGCGUCAAUAGUGGAACAUAUUGUAUCAGUAACUGUUACUUUUUAAAAUCCCACUGGGCUUUUUUAUUAUUAAUUAAAAGUUAGCCAGUGAGCUUGUCUGUGUCAGUAAAGCCAUCCUAAAGCAUAGUGAAAAUAGCGUCUGUGUCUCGUGCUCUGGUUUAGUAGAAAUGAAAAUACGGGAUGUGGAGUCGAACAUUUGUACUCAUGCUUUGGGGAUGAUGGGUGGAGCUGGAGCAGCCAGGGGGCGCAGUGGGGGAGGAUGUGUCUCAGCUGCAGUUUUCUUUCCUCCAGGCAGAGAUUAAGGCUGUGUCCUUUACAGAGAUGCUCAAGAGCAAGUCUGCGAAUGGAAUACAAUGUAGCCAGUAAAAAUCAUGUUGCAGUAGAAAAAUAUAUUUCUUGAUGGGGAAAAUGUUCGUGAUCUAUUGCUUAGUGAAAAGUAAUAGCUUCCACAGUAGUGAGUGCAGAGUGGCAUCAUUCUUGUAAAAACUAUUGUAUGUGUGUGUGUGUCUGUGUGUAUUAACAUCGGCCCACAUAUACCUAAAUGAUGAAAUGAUAAAGUGGUCAUCUCUGGAUAGUGAGAUUAUUUGAGUUUCUUUUUUCUUUGUGCUCUUCUGUAUUUUCCGAGUUUCCUGCAUUAUGCGUGUAUUAAUUUUGUAACUCGAAAAAAAUAAAUCUUAUUUUUUGUUUUCAAAA